GAGUGAGAGAAGUGAGAUGAAAUCUUUGAUUGGAAAUUUCAUGUAGACGAUGCUAUCACCCCAUAUGACCAAAAGAAAUUCCCAAUUAAAGAUUUCAUCUUACUUCCCUCAUG